GGAUGCUUGAAGAAGAUUGAGAGUUAGAUCAUUUAUGUUUUAUUUUAUGGUGUAUUAAUUAUUAUGUAUGGAAAAUAAACAUGAGUUAUUUGUUUUGUUUUAUAGAAUUAUGUGACAUUGAAGUAUUGAGAAUGAAUUAUUAUUUUAAUUGUUGUGUCCUAGCUGUGUCCGUGUCCUAAUUUUUUGAGAUUUUCCUUGUUGCCGUGUCGCGUUCCCUUGUCCCCGUACCGGUGUCCGUGCAACAUAGCCUGCGAUAUUAUUUGCACAAACAAUCUCUUUCUUGUAAAAAUUCAAAAUGACAACAAAACUUGCAGCCUAGCAUUCUCAACUAAUCAUGCAGCCUACCCCUAAUUGCAUUCUUCAUCUAAUCCUCC
rnacentral:lncRNA from 1 species